UUCAGAUAACAUCUCCCAGCAGGCCAGGCUAUUUGGGGUUCCCUGCCUCUGGGCUCUGCUGGGGCUCGGACUUUUCCCCCUCCCCACUUCCCCCCCACUCCGGACACCGGGCUCCCCGCCACCAUGGUCCGCUACAUCCGCUACCUCAGUCGCUACCGUGGCCAGGGCAGGAGGAGGAGGAAGAAGUGCCGGCCUUGUCGGAAGAAGAGGGUCAGGAGGGGCCGGAAAAGCAGGAAACGACCAAGAACCAACUGCCACUACCACUACCGUAGGAGCGUGAUGUUCUGAGGCUCUGGAGGUCUGACAGGAAGCCCCCUCCCCCCCUGCCACCAACCCACCAUGGGGAGGGGGACAAACAACCCUGAAGACGACCCCCUCCGACCUCUGAAGACACCUCCCUCCCCCGACACCCCCACUGCAGCCAUGCUGAAGGACGGGACCCCCCGGAACACCUCUGCAGCUUCGAACCCCAAGACCCCCAAAACCGCCCCAGCAUCAGAAGCCCCCAAUGGUCAAUAAAAUCUGAUCACUGCAGUGCUGAA